GACUGAACGUUAGAAUAGGCAAAAAGAAUGACCUAAGCGGCUUUGAGUGUGGUCUGAUUGUCGGUGCCAGGCGUGCCGGAUCCAGUAUCUCAGAAAUGUCCGAUCUCCUGGGCUUUCCACUCACAACAGUGUUUAGGGUUUACCGAGAAUGGUGAGAGAAACAAAAGAAUCCAGUCAGCGGCAGUCCUGUGGGUGAAAACAGCUUGUUGAUAAGAGAGGUCGAAAGAGACAAACAAAUAACUGUGCAGUACAACAGUGGUGUGCAGAACAGCAUCUCGGAACGCACAACUUGUUGAUCCUUGUCAUGGAUGGAUGGGCUAUUGCAGCAGACGACCACACCAGGUUCCACUUUUAUCUGCUAUAAACAAGAAGACGCGGCUCCAGUGGGCACACGAUCGCCAACACUGGACAACUGAGGAGAGGAAAAACAUUGCCUGGUCCGACGAAUCCCAGUUCCUGUUGCGUCAUGCUGAUGGCAGUCAGGAUUUGGUGUAAGCAGCAUGAGUCCUUGGACUCAUCCUUCCUGCUUUCAACAGUACAGGCUGGUGGCGGUAUUGCACUGGACAUGCAGCAGCUUGUAGGGGGAUUCCUCGUGGCUGCAGCGACUCGUGGGACUCUCCUGGAAGUACUGGGAGUCUAGCUGGCAGAUAGCACCAGGCCCCUUGGUGAAGUACUCCACCAGGAAGGACUUAUGGACCUCUAUCUCAUCCGGGAGGAAGGCUUGCUGUACCUUGCUCAUCAUUUCGGAGACUCUGACUUGUACCAAAGGGCUCAGCGGAUGGGAACGCCUACGACUGUCAGAGAUUUAGAUCACGAUACAGGGAUAAGAACCCACAGACAUACAGAAGGGUACGUUGUAAUGGUGGGCACCAAUAUCUAAAAUUCCCACAGACAUACACGCAUAUAAAUUAAUGCUACACACAAAUCACAACUGCUGCUGCCAGACUCUUAUUAUGAUUGCUAAAUACUGCACAAUUUAAACACUUGCCCCCAAAUCCCCCCUUCCCCAAAACACAUGUAAAUAUUGGACUAUAAAUUGUACCUUACUGUAUUAUUCUUAUGCUAAAAUGUUUAUUAUAUUCUACUGAGACAUUUACUUUAUGUUGGUAUUCUUAUCGUUUAUUAUUUCUUAUUGUUGUUGCAUUGUCAAGAAGGAAGCUGCAAGUAAGCAUUUCAUUGGCUGGUGUAUACCACGUGUAUCCUGUACGACUAAUAAAACUUGAAAAAUAUAUCAGUAUCGCUUGAUACUGUUUUGACUUCAAUAUUGUUUGAUUUGGGGUUGAUAUCGAUAUGAGCAAGACAUAUCGUGAUAUUGGUUUAUCCUUCCUGUUAACCUAUGCUAUUAUGUAAAAAGCAUACAUGACUGUUCCUGCAUGCACAAAAUCCUCUCGCAGAUGUUCACAUGCUCUCAACUUAAUAUACUUAACGUGAACAUUUUUCUCCAAUAAAAAAAUGCUUGAACAUGUGGUGCGGCAGGUAGCCUGGUGGAUAGUGUUGGGCCAGUAACCGAAAGGUCGCUGGUUAGAAUACCCAAGCUGACAAGGUGAAGUCUUUCUGUGCCCUUGAGCAAGGCUCCAGGGGCGCCGUACUACCAUGUCUGACUCUGUAAAACAACACAUUUCACUGCAUCUGUGACAAUACAUAUGUUUUUUUUCUGGUUUAGGAAAUUUUGUUAAUUUGGCAAUGUGAAACCAACUGGACCAAAUGUAAAUAAAAUACUAUAGCUCAGAGCUAUGUGUGAAAUGCCCUUACUUGCCUGCUGAUAGAUCAUUGACAGUGGAUGUGUUUCCCAUUGCAGUUAAACUGGUUGACUAAAGUUAGGCUCCCAGAACAUUCCCAUCUGGCCAAAUGAGCAAUCAGCAACCAGUUCAACUUCACAGAUCCAUGAAAGUGAAACACUAAUGAACUUUUACACUGUUCCAAUAUUUUUUAUUAACCAAUGUGUUAUUAAAAAAAUGUAACUGAUAGAUGCCCAUGAUUAACAUUUUUGAUGUGUGCUUGCAUGACCUGCUGCCCAUCUGCUCUGAUUUGAACCUCAAUGAAAAAGGUUCUGUUGUUGGAGAUCCAUUUGAUGUUUUGAUUGCUCCAUACUUAUUUUCCCCCUCAGAUUAUUUGGUACUUGAAUCAAAUGUGAAGAAAUCAAUAGACAACAGUCUAUUCAAGCCAACACACACAUAUUGGAGCGUAAGAUUGGAG